rnacentral:rRNA from 1 species
AUUGAACGCUGGCGGCAUGCCUUACACAUGCAAGUCGAACGGUAACAGGUCUUCGGUUGCUUACUUGUGGCGAACUGGUGAGUAAUACAUCGGAACGUGCCCGACCGUCGGGUGUAACGAGGCGACAGCUUUGCUCAUACCCCAUACCAUCUUCGCGUGACAGCGGGGGAUCUUCGGACCUCGCGCCGACGGAGCGUCCGAUGUCAGAUUAAGUAGUUGGUGGGAUAAAAGCUUACCAAGCCGACGAUCUGUAGCUGGUCUGAGAGGAUGAUCAGCCACACUGGGACUGAGACACGGCCCAGACUCCUACGGGAGGCAGCAGUGGGGAAUUUUGGACAAUGGGCGAAAGCCUGAUGCAGCCAUGCCGCGUGUAGGAUGAAGGCCUUCGGGUUGUAAACUGCUUUUGUACGGAACGAAAAGAGUAUAGCUAAUAAAGAGGGGUAAUGACGGUACCGUAAGAAUAAGCACCGGCUAACUACGUG